rnacentral:lncRNA from 1 species
AGAGUGUGCAGAACCAUAUAUGAUUUUCAAAGAAGCAGAUGCCACCAAGAAUAAAGAAAAACUGGAGAAACUGAAGAGUCAAGCAGAUCAGUUUUGCCAAAGACUUGGGAAAUAUCGCAUGCCUUUUGCUUGGACUGCAAUCCAUUUAAUGAAUAUUGUUAGCAGUGCUGGGAGUUUGGAAAGAGAUUCUACAGAAGUAGAAAUCAGUACUGGAGAACGAAAAGGGUCUUGGUCAGAGAGGAGGAAUUCUAGUAUUGUUGGCAGACGAUCACUUGAAAGGACAACAAGUGGAGAUGAUGCUUGUAACUUGACGAGCUUUCGACCAGCUACUCUCACAGUGACAAAUUUUUUUAAGCAGGUAUUGUUCUGUCAUGUAGGAAUUUUGGGGAGAUGUUUGUGCAUAAAUUUUUUUAAUUUCAGAAAGGUAGUGAUUGUACUAUACAUGUAUGGGAGGGUGAUUCCAAGAAACUUAAAAACUUUAAGAAUAAAAAUAAUAAAAGCAACUAUAAGAAUGAGAAA